rnacentral:rRNA from 1 species
AUACGGGAGGUCCGGGCGUUAUCCGGAUUUAUUGGGUUUAAAGGGAGCGCAGGCGGAGAUGCAAGCGUGACGUCAAAUUUCGGGGCUCAACCCCGUCUCGCGUCGCGAACUGCGUCCCUUGGUUGCGGGAAGGGGAGGCGGAACUCGUGGUGUAGCGGUGAAAUGCAUAGAUAUCACGAAGAACUCCGAUCGCGAAGGCAGCCUUCCGGCCCGUCAACGACGCUCAUGCUCGAAGGUGCGGGUAUCAAACAGGAUUAGAUACCCUGGUAGUCCGCACAGUAAACGAUGGACACCCGCGGUUUGGCCUGUAUGGCUGAGCCGCCAAGCGAAAGCGUUAAGUGUCCCACCUGGGGAGUACGCCGGCAACGGUGAAACUCAAAGGAAUUGACGGGG